rnacentral:lncRNA from 1 species
UCAGAGGGCUGUUGGAGGAGUAGAUGAGGUGCUACAUGCAGGGCCCUGAGAACUGUCCUGUCGCUCAGGAAGCAAGUUUUGCAGGGUGUGGACAAUCGGGCAAGUGACUGCAUGUGACAACAGAGAGAGGGCAUGGUACACGGUGGCAGAUGAGCCCGGGACUGGAGGCAGAUCUGGGUUCCAGUUCGGGCUCUACCAGCAGCACCCAUGUGUCCUUCUGUUCUCUGGGCCUCAAUUUCCUGUUGUAAAAUUCAGAACUUGGAAGAGGUAAGUGGUUAGGUCAUUCCUGAGACAUCCCAGAUAAUCACAGCCAUCCAAACGUUGGCUCGGGAGCCCUGAGUAACCAAGACUGCAGGAAGCAACAGUUUAGUAAGGGUUCAGAAUCCUGUGAUUAGGGCUCGAGAAUGAAAUACUCUUCUAAGAGCUUCUCCCAGACCAAAAGGAGCUAAUUAGGAAAGAAUGGUGGCAUUCUCUGGGCAAACUGGAGGAGCCCCUGGGCUUGGCCUCCUUAUGCCUUCCUCCUUGACCCUCCUCUAGCCCCCUUGGACACAACACAACGUCCCCCCUCUGCUUUUUCCCCAGAUACUAUGGUAAACCUGCUCUCAGAUCUUUCUCCACACCUAGAAAAAUUCAUUCAUCGACUAUACACUUUAAUGAAUAUGCACUUACUAUGUACCAGAUAUUCUUUGGCUGCUAGGGCAGAGCAGCAGGGACAUAGCCCCUGUCCCCGUGGGGUCAACAUGCUGGUGGAGGGAGUCAGAGGUAAUAAAAUAAGCAAGUAAGACACACAGUAGAGCAGGCAGAGUUGGCGGAGAACUGGAUCUAACUGGGUUGGGGUUUUGCCAAGCAAGUACAGUCCAACUUGGAGUGUGGAGGGAAGGGUAUAGAAAAGGUAGGGACUAGAAUAACUAACCCUGGAAUUUAGGCUGGGAAAGGAGGGAGUAGGGAUUUGAAAGCGGGUGAGGUCAGUAGUCUGUGGGGCCCUGAGGGGCGAUGGCUCCAAGGCACGAGCCGGAAAGAGGUUUGACAGUGGCUUCUCUGGAGGGCUCAAGCUUGACCAGGAAACUGAGUGCCGAGCCCUGGAAGAUCACUGGGGAGAGGAGGUCAAAGAACUGGGAGGCCAGGGCACCAUCGGCGGGCUGAACUACAGAAAGGGACAGAGCUGUUUAUGUCAUGAAAAGCAGGCCUGAGCAUUAGAAGACUGAGAAACACCUGGGAGGAUCUUGUUUCAACAGAGCUCAAAGCCGUGGCAAAAGGACGGAGCUCGAAUUGUGCAAUUAAACCCAGGCCCCCAGCAAAUGGAAAAUGCCAUCCACUGGCACAGAGACUUCAGUUGGGAGCCGAGGACUGAACUCAGACCACCAUUCUUUGUUCAACAUUUCUUCCUGAGGGGCCUGGAGGAAGUCACACCCACAGGCCAGAGCUCAACAUUCCUUUCUGCUGACCCCAGGCACCAGUCCAUGGCACUCCCUAUGCCUGCAGGAUACCACAUCAAAGCAGAGUUGGGGGAGCAUUUCAGGAGGUUCCUGUGAAAAACCUACAUGCACACACCCCCACGUGCAGCUGCAGACUGCUAUCUAUACACGAAGUUAUGCAUCGCAGAGUCGACUGCAAAAGGCUGGAGCCCACACAGCGUCUAUCAAUAGGGAACGGGUUAAAUCGACCACAAGAUUUCCAUAUGACGAUGGAACACUUUCCAGCCAAGAAAGGAGGAGGAAGUCCUCACUGCUCUGAUACGGAACAGUCACCAAGACAUAUUUUAAGUAAAAAAAAGGCAGCAUGCAUAACCAGGGAAAUGAAAACUAAAACCACAGUGAGUUACAAUUUCACACAGAUCCAUCUACAAAAAAAAAAAAGCUGAUAAUUGCAGGUGUUGGUGAAGAAGUGGAGUGAGGGGAAUGCUCAAACUACUAGUGGGUGUGCGAAUGGUUAUAACCACUUUUUAAAAUUUUGGCAUUAUCUACUGAAGUUGACAAUGUACUUUCCCAAUGGCCUUGCAAAUGCCCUGGAGAAGUUCUUACCCAACCCCCGCCAUUCCCCCCAACACACACCAAAAGAAACAAUUAAGAACAUUUGCACCAGCUCUGUUCCUAGAACCCCAAAACUGAGGCCAGCACUGAGGCCAAGCACAGUGGCUCAUGCCUGUAAUCCCAGCAGGCAUGAGCCACCCUUUGGGAGCCUGAGGCCGGAGGAUUAUUGAGGUUGAGAGUUCAAGACCAGCCUGGGCAACAUAGUGAGACCUUGUCUCUAUAAAAGAAGUUUUAAAAAUUAGCCAGGUGUGAUGGCUCAUGCUUGUAGUCCCAGCUAAUUGGGAGGCUGAGGUAGGAGGAUCGUUUCUUGAGCCCUGGAGGUUGAGGCUGCAGUGAGCCAUGAUUGCACCACUGCACUCCAGCCUGGGCAACAGAAUGAGACCCUGUCUCAAAAAAUAAAAUUAAAUUAGAAAACAAUAAUAAUUAUUAUUAAUAAAUAAAAUAGUCCAAUGAAAAUAAUCAUACUAUCUCCAUGCAAUGGAAUUCUAUACAAGAGUGAAAAUGAACUAACUCCGGACAUGCGUAUCAGUACACUGAACUUCAGAACUAUAAUUAUGGGUGGGACAAAAGCCAGCCAUAGAAAACUAUUCUAUUCAUAAUCCCAAAAAGGUAGUAUACCAUAUUCAAUUAUUAUAUAUAUUUAUGUCUUGUUAUAUAUAAUGUUUAUUACAUUUAUCUUAGUAUAAAAAUAUAGUAUAUUUAUCAUAAUCUAUUAUAAACAAGUAGUAGGAUUAUAAAAAGACAAAAAGGGCAGGAUAAGCGUAAAAUUCAUGAUAGUAUUUAGGGGAAGAGGAGGGUGGGGCUGGAGAGAGGCACAUGGUUUCAAAAGCCCAGCUUCUUUGUCUAAAACAGGGCGUGGGUACCCAUACUGGUCUAUUGUAUUGUGGGUGUCUUUAAAAUGUAUAUAUAUUCUAUAACUACUAUUUUUGUAUCUACUCAAUAUUUAAUUUUAAAAUUUUAAAUGAGGCCUAGAACACUAUAAAAAGUAUGCUACCAUUUGUAUAGAAAAAGUGGACACACACAUCACUCAUGUGCAUAGAUUAAAGUGUCUCUGGAAACUUACACAUGCAACUGGUGAAACUGGUUUCCUCUGGGGAGGAGAACUGGGAGGCUGGGGACAAGGAGGGGCAAUAAAUCAAUUGAAAUUAAAAAUCACAAAAUUUAAGGAGAAGGAGACAAAGAAGGGAAGGAGGAAGAGAAGGGAGGGUGGAGGGGAGAGGCCAAGUCCUGGUCCCAGGAGGGACAGGGAGCAGAAAGAGGAGGACUGGCCAGGCUCUGGCUAUCAAAACCUGUGUGUGCCACAGGCACGAGUGGAGCCAGAAGCCUGCAGUCCUGCCCAGGAAAGCCUGUGUCCUCCGCGCACAACUCAGGCUUAGACCCAGAGAAUGCUCUUUCUUGCACCUGAGGACGGGGCUGGCUUCAAACAGUUGCCCAGGUUGACCCUGGCUCUGCAGUCUUUUGUUUCCAGAGCUUUGCUUCCAAACGAGGCUCCCUUGGGUCUCUUUCCCUGGCCCUGCCUUCUUAUCUCCAACCUUCACCCCACCUGUGAUCCAAGCGAUUCCUUUGAAGUUGCUUCAGAGUCUUCUGAGCCUUCAUCCUUGAUGACUCUGAAAUGUGCGUCUGUGGCACCAAGGUCAGCCAACAGCAAGUAGGCCCUUUUCAUCUCCUUUUAAACCUUCCCCUCAAGGACUCAGUGUCCUUGCUGUAUUGCCUUAUCAAAACCUGCUCACAUAUCCUUUGUUCACACUGGGAUACCGGUCAUUUAAAGGAAAACAGGCCCACUCUAACCAGGGUCACUGCCAAGUCCCUAAGUAUCAUGCCCUUGAGAGGUAAAAGCAUAAAGCACUAAGGGUAGAAUUUUGGGCAACAGCCAGUGGACAAGGACAAAAUGGGUGCAAUAUGCAGGGGUCCCUUCUGCCCCACCGGUAACCAUAACACCUCAGGACACAGGCUGGGGUCUGUAUUCAAAAGUGGGUCCCUCAGACCGGGCACAGUGGCUCACGCCUAUAAUCCCAGCACUUUGGGAAGCCAAGGCCAGCGGAUCCCUUGAGCCCAGGAGUUUGUGACCAGCCUGAGCAACAUGGCGAAACCCCAUCUCUACAAAAAAUACCAAAAUUAGUCUAGUCGGGCAUGGUGGUGCACACACCUAUGGUCCCAGCUAUUUGGGAGGCUGAGGGGGGAGAAUCGCUUGAGCCCCAGGAGGCAGAGAUUGCAGUGAGCUGUGAUCGAGCCACUGCACUCCAGCCUGGGCAACAGAGUGAGACCCUAUCUCAAGAAAACAAAAACAGAAAGUAAAAAAGCAAUCCUCGAGCAAAAGUGGGUCCCUCAGAGCCCAAUGACAGUGAUGAGGAGGAUGAGGUGGGAAAGGUAGUGUUACUCUGAACUAAAAAGGACUGCCCAGUGUGACCCUAUCUCCCAAACAGCCCAUGCAGGGAUCUGGGUGGCACCAUAGUACAGAAGUGGGUGCCAAGAGAGGCCUGGGCUGCACAGCCAGGUGCAUACAUGCCCUGGAGUCCAGGACAGGAUCAGCAGCAAAUCCACUCCAGGGAGCUCUCCCCCCUCACCAUCCUCUCAAUCAGGGUUCCCCAGUUGAAAAGCACCUUGGCAGUUCAUAAUUCUCCCUCUAAAGCCAGAAAGUGCUGUAAAGGAUAACAGAAGCCUGGCUGCACAGUGGAGCUUAAUGGAAGUCAUUCAACAAGCAGGUCUGGAGCAAACAUCAUGGACCAGCAGUACUGUGUGUUGGCACAGAUGUGAAGCAACUAUACUCUGAUACGGCUUGGAUAUGUGUCCCCACCCAAAUCUCAUAUUGAAUUUUAAUUCCCAGUGUUAGAGGAGGGGCCGGGUGGGAGGUGACUGGAUCAUGGGGGCAGAUUUCCCCCUUACUGUUCUCACGAUAGUGAGUUCUCAGAUCUGGUUAUUUUAAAGUGUGUAGCACCUCCCACUUUGCUCCCUUCCUCCUGCUUUGGCCAUGUAAGAUGUGCCUGCUUCGCCUUCCCCUUCCGCCAUGAUUCUAUGUUUCCUGAGGCCUCCCCAGCCAUGCUUCCUAUACAGUCUGCAGAACCGUGAG